UACGUAGGGGGCAAGCGUUGUCCGGAUUUAUUGGGCGUAAAGCGUGCGCAGGCGGUUCGUUGUGUCGGCGGUGAAAGCCCCGGGCUUAACCUGGGAAUGGCCGUUGAAACUGGCGAACUGGAGUGUGGCAGAGGGGGGUGGAAUUCCCAGUGUAGAGGUGAAAUUCGUAGAUAUUGGGAAGAACACCGGUGGCGAAGGCGGCUAUCUGGACCGACAUUGACGCUGAGGCGCGAAAGCGUGGGGAGCAAACAGG
rnacentral:rRNA from 1 species